rnacentral:rRNA from 1 species
AUGUCUGUGAAGAUGGCAGAACCUGCAGCACUUGCUUCUGAUCCUAAGAGGCUAUUCAGAAAGUUGGAUGGGAUCCUGGCACUGACAGAGCAAAUCCCUACAAGAUCUACCGCCGACUACGCUACCCUGACAAAAGAAGAGAUAUGGGACGAGUGUCUCGAGUGGCUAACAUCGAUGUGGCCGCAUCGGCUAAAUGUUAUACUAGGGGAUCAAAUGGGAGCUGGGGGUGUAAUCCCAACACUUGUGUUUCUUGACCGUCUCAAAGAGAGUGGCCAGCAUGGAACAUACCUGAUAGUUUCUUCUCUGGACAAGGACAACGGUAUUGGAGACUGGUUGAGACAGAUAAGGUGA